UUAAGCGACUAAGCGUACACGGUGGAUGCCCUGGCAGUCAGAGGCGAUGAAGGACGUGCUAAUCUGCGAUAAGCGUCGGUAAGGUGAUAUGAACCGUUAUAACCGGCGAUUUCCGAAUGGGGAAACCCAGUGUGAUUCGUCACACUAUCAUUAACUGAAUCCAUAGGUUAAUGAGGCGAACCGGGGGAACUGAAACAUCUAAGUACCCCGAGGAAAAGAAAUCAACCGAGAUUCCCCCAGUAGCGGCGAGCGAACGGGGAGGAGCCCAGAGCCUGAAUCAGUGUGUGUGUUAGUGGAAGCGUCUGGAAAGGCGCGCGAUACAGGGUGACAGCCCCGUACACAAAAAUGCACAUGCUGUGAGCUCGAUGAGUAGGGCGGGACACGUGGUAUCCUGUCUGAAUAUGGGGGGACCAUCCUCCAAGGCUAAAUACUCCUGACUGACCGAUAGUGAACCAGUACCGUGAGGGAAAGGCGAAAAGAACCCCGGCGAGGGGAGUGAAAAAGAACCUGAAACCGUGUACGUACAAGCAGUGGGAGCACAGAGCAAUCUGUGUGACUGCGUACCUUUUGUAUAAUGGGUCAGCGACUUAUAUUCUGUAGCAAGGUUAACCGAAUAGGGGAGCCGAAGGGAAACCGAGUCUUAACCGGGCGUUAAGUUGCAGGGUAUAGACCCGAAACCCGGUGAUCUAGCCAUGGGCAGGUUGAAGGUUGGGUAACACUAACUGGAGGACCGAACCGACUAAUGUUGAAAAAUUAGCGGAUGACUUGUGGCUGGGGGUGAAAGGCCAAUCAAACCGGGAGAUAGCUGGUUCUCCCCGAAAGCUAUUUAGGUAGCGCCUCGUGAAUUCAUCUCCGGGGGUAGAGCACUGUUUCGGCAAGGGGGUCAUCCCGACUUACCAACCCGAUGCAAACUGCGAAUACCGGAGAAUGUUAUCACGGGAGACACACGGCGGGUGCUAACGUCCGUCGUGAAGAGGGAAACAACCCAGACCGCCAGCUAAGGUCCCAAAGUCAUGGUUAAGUGGGAAACGAUGUGGGAAGGCCCAGACAGCCAGGAUGUUGGCUUAGAAGCAGCCAUCAUUUAAAGAAAGCGUAAUAGCUCACUGGUCGAGUCGGCCUGCGCGGAAGAUGUAACGGGGCUAAACCAUGCACCGAAGCUGCGGCAGCGACACUGUGUGUUGUUGGGUAGGGGAGCGUUCUGUAAGCCUGUGAAGGUGUGCUGUGAGGCAUGCUGGAGGUAUCAGAAGUGCGAAUGCUGACAUAAGUAACGAUAAAGCGGGUGAAAAGCCCGCUCGCCGGAAGACCAAGGGUUCCUGUCCAACGUUAAUCGGGGCAGGGUGAGUCGACCCCUAAGGCGAGGCCGAAAGGCGUAGUCGAUGGGAAACAGGUUAAUAUUCCUGUACUUGGUGUUACUGCGAAGGGGGGACGGAGAAGGCUAUGUUGGCCGGGCGACGGUUGUCCCGGUUUAAGCGUGUAGGCUGGUUUUCCAGGCAAAUCCGGAAAAUCAAGGCUGAGGCGUGAUGACGAGGCAUACGGUGCUGAAGCAACAAAUGCCCUGCUUCCAGGAAAAGCCUCUAAGCAUCAGGUAACAUCAAAUCGUACCCCAAACCGACACAGGUGGUCAGGUAGAGAAUACCAAGGCGCUUGAGAGAACUCGGGUGAAGGAACUAGGCAAAAUGGUGCCGUAACUUCGGGAGAAGGCACGCUGAUAUGUAGGUGAAGUCCCUCGCGGAUGGAGCUGAAAUCAGUCGAAGAUACCAGCUGGCUGCAACUGUUUAUUAAAAACACAGCACUGUGCAAACACGAAAGUGGACGUAUACGGUGUGACGCCUGCCCGGUGCCGGAAGGUUAAUUGAUGGGGUCAGCGCAAGCGAAGCUCUUGAUCGAAGCCCCGGUAAACGGCGGCCGUAACUAUAACGGUCCUAAGGUAGCGAAAUUCCUUGUCGGGUAAGUUCCGACCUGCACGAAUGGCGUAAUGAUGGCCAGGCUGUCUCCACCCGAGACUCAGUGAAAUUGAACUCGCUGUGAAGAUGCAGUGUACCCGCGGCAAGACGGAAAGACCCCGUGAACCUUUACUAUAGCUUGACACUGAACAUUGAGCCUUGAUGUGUAGGAUAGGUGGGAGGCUUUGAAGUGUGGACGCCAGUCUGCAUGGAGCCGACCUUGAAAUACCACCCUUUAAUGUUUGAUGUUCUAACGUGGACCCGUGAUCCGGGUUGCGGACAGUGUCUGGUGGGUAGUUUGACUGGGGCGGUCUCCUCCUAAAGAGUAACGGAGGAGCACGAAGGUUGGCUAAUCCUGGUCGGACAUCAGGAGGUUAGUGCAAUGGCAUAAGCCAGCUUGACUGCGAGCGUGACGGCGCGAGCAGGUGCGAAAGCAGGUCAUAGUGAUCCGGUGGUUCUGAAUGGAAGGGCCAUCGCUCAACGGAUAAAAGGUACUCCGGGGAUAACAGGCUGAUACCGCCCAAGAGUUCAUAUCGACGGCGGUGUUUGGCACCUCGAUGUCGGCUCAUCACAUCCUGGGGCUGAAGUAGGUCCCAAGGGUAUGGCUGUUCGCCAUUUAAAGUGGUACGCGAGCUGGGUUUAGAACGUCGUGAGACAGUUCGGUCCCUAUCUGCCGUGGGCGCUGGAGAACUGAGGGGGGCUGCUCCUAGUACGAGAGGACCGGAGUGGACGCAUCACUGGUGUUCGGGUUGUCAUGCCAAUGGCACUGCCCGGUAGCUAAAUGCGGAAGAGAUAAGUGCUGAAAGCAUCUAAGCACGAAACUUGCCCCGAGAUGAGUUCUCCCUGACCCUUUAAGGGUCCUGAAGGAACGUUGAAGACGACGACGUUGAUAGGCCGGGUGUGUAAGCGCAGCGAUGCGUUGAGCUAACCGGUACUAAUGAACCGUGAGGCUUAACCUU
rnacentral:rRNA from 1 species